rnacentral:rRNA from 1 species
GUGGGGAAUUUUGGACAAUGGGCGAAAGCCUGAUCCAGCCAUGCCGCGUGCAGGAUGAAGGCCUUCGGGUUGUAAACUGCUUUUGUACGGAACGAAAAGACUCCUUCUAAUAAAGGGGGUCCAUGACGGUACCGUAAGAAUAAGCACCGGCUAACUACGUGCCAGCAGCCGCGGUAAUACGUAGGGUGCAAGCGUUAAUCGGAAUUACUGGGCGUAAAGCGUGCGCAGGCGGUUAUAUAAGACAGAUGUGAAAUCCCCGGGCUCAACCUGGGAACUGCAGUUGUGACUGUAUAGCUAGAGUACGGUAGAGGGGGAUGGAAUUCCGCGUGUAGCAGUGAAAUGCGUAGAUAUGCGGAGGAACACCGAUGGCGAAGGCAAUCCCCUGGACCUGUACUGACGCUCAUGCACGAAAGCGUGGGGAGCAAACAGGAUUAGAUACCCGGGUAGUCC